GUUCUUACCGAGUUCCUUGACUUGAUCUAUGAAUAUUCUGGCUUCCCUGGAAACCGUUUGUUCGCUUUGCACCACAAAAUCUUUCUACCCGUCCAGAACCUCCUUUCAACUUCAUAAACUUUUUAGAGCGUGAAACAACAAUGGAGCCCAAUACCGAUCGAAAGACUAAAACCCGGCAGAAAAUAAAUCAAAAAAGGGACCCCGCUCAACAAGCCCUUACUCCACCUACUGAAGCGGAUCUGGCACUGGAGCAACGCUUCAACGAAUUAAUCACAAAAUAUCCAGCUUCUUUCGAAAAAUUUUUACCCACCUGUCUUUCAAUUUUCAAAAAUCAAAUAGAGCUAGAGACGCAAGAAAUAUUGCCUCCCAUACCAGGCACGUCUUCCCCUCCAAUAAUGUGUAGCACUUUACCUAACCCUUCUUCAAAACAACCACAAAUUCCAACUGAACCAGGACUCCAAUUAAAACGGGACUCAAAACGGGAAUAAGAUGAUUAAGUCUAAAGUGUAUUUCUUUUUAGCAAGCAAUCUCCUUAAUAUUGUGCAAUAAUUGCGAAUGGAUGGAAAGUACUAAAAUAUUAUUGGGUUCUUAUUGUUCUGUAAUUUUAGUACCUGUUCAUAACUUACUUGGGUCUGUAUUCUAGAAUUAAUUGUUAGGUAUUUAGUUAUAUUUUACGAAUCUGAAAUAAUAUGUGGCGCAUGGACAGUUUUCGCGAUACGAGCAAAAAUGUGCGAAUUUU